ensembl:lncRNA
CUCCGAUUUCUCAGACUCGAGGUUUUUGCCCAACUUUCCCCCACCCCCACCUCCCGACCCACCCCUAAUCUGCUCCUAUUCCCCUUUCUCUGGCUACCGGAUUUCCAGUUCUUCCAGCGCACUACUCUAGCCCAAGAAAGCAUCUGUGAACUCAACUCCAGAACAACUGGCUUCAUGUUUCUCUGAGGCUGAUGGUCGUGUUUGAAACGGAACAACAUAUUGACUUCAGAAGAAAACAUGCUGGUGCGAUAUCUCUUCACGGCUGCUCCAGCAAAUUGCAGCUGCCGCAUCUUACCUUGGACAUGGGUUAACUCUUCUCUGCCACUGCCCCUGACCUUGGACGUGGGUCAGCUCCUCUCAGCCGCUGCCCCUGACCUUGGACGUGUGGGAUAGCUCCUCUUGGACAGCCAUGCUUCUGUGCCAUCGUAGACGCUGUGCUGCGCCAUGCGAACUAUGGACGGAUGUUGGUGACAUCAUAUAGGAAACAGGAAUCAAGACCAUCCCCAAGAAAAAGAAAUGCAAAAAAGCAAAAUGGCUGUCUGAGGAGGCCUUACAAAUAGCUGUGAAAAGAAGGGAAGUGAUAAGUAAAGGAAAAAAGGAAAGAUAUACCCAUUUGAAUGCAGAGUUCCAAAGAAUAGCAAGGAGAGAUAAGAAAGCCUUCCUCAGCGAUCAAUGCAAAGAAAUAGAGGAAAACAACAGAAUGGGAAAGACUAGAGAUCUCUUCAAGAAAAUUAGAGAUACCAAGGGAACAUUUCAUGCAAAGAUGGGCUCAAUAAAGGACAGAAAUGGUACAGACCUAACAGAAUUAGAAGAUAUUAAGAAGAGGUAGCAAGAAUACACAGAAGAACUGUACAAAAAAGAUCUUCAUGACCCAGAUAAUCACGAUGGUGUGAUCACUCACCUAGAGCCAGACAUCCUGGAAUGUGAAGUCAAGUGGGCCUCAGGAAGCCUCACUACCAACAAAGCUAAUGGAGGUGAUGGAACUCCAAUUGAGCUAUUUCAAAUCCUGAAAGAUGAUGCUGUGAAAGUGCUGCACUCAAUAUGCCAGCAAAUUUGGAAAACUCAACAGUGGCCACAGGACUGGAAAAGGUCAGUUUUCAUUCCACUUCCAAAGAAAGGCAAUGCCAAAGAAUGCUCAAACUACUGCACAAUUGCACUUAUCUCACACGCUAGUAAAGUAAUGCUCAAAAUUCUCCAAGCCAGGCUUCAACAAUACGUGAACUGCGAACUUCCAGAUAUUCAAGCUGGUUUUAGAAAAGGCAGAGGAACCGGAGAUCAAAUUGCCAACAUCCGGUGGAUCAUAGAAAAAGCAAAAGAGUUCCAGAAAAACAUCUAUUUCUGCUUUAUUGACUAUGCCAAAGCCUUUGACUGUGUGGAUCACAAUAAACUGUGGAAAAUUCUGAAAGAGAUGGGAAUACCAGACCACCUGACCUGUCUCUUGAGAAACCUGUAUGCAGGUCAGGAAGCAAUAGUUAGUACUGGGCAUGGAACAACAGACUGGUUCCAAAGACAGAAAGGAGUACGUCAAGGCUGUAUAUUGUCACCCUGUUUAUUUAACCUCUAUGCAGAGUACAUCAUGAGAAACGUUGGGCUGAAGGAAGCACAAGCUGGAAUCAAGAUUGCCAGGAGAAAUAUCAACAACCUCAGAUAUGCA